rnacentral:ribozyme from 1 species
AUAAACUAGCUCUGUUUAUAGGGUAGGAUCCGAGAGACUCCUUUCGGGGUCACACAGGCUCUCUUACCUAACUUCUAUUCCAUCACGUCCUCGUCGUACAGAUUGGUAACUUUCCCCAUCACAUAUGCAAGCUUGGGUACACGGGCCUGUCCCAACCCAUUGGGCGGAUGGUGGAGAAAGGCUAAACAAAAGGGA